ensembl:miRNA
GUCAGAGUAAUGUCAAAGUGCUUACAGUGCAGGUAGUGAUAUAAGAACCUACUGCAGUGAAGGCACUUGUAGCAUUAUAUUGACAA